rnacentral:rRNA from 1 species
GGAGGAUGCGAGCGUUAUCCGGAUUUAUUGGGUUUAAAGGGUGCGUAGGCGGAUUGAUAAGUCAGUGGUGAAAACCUGCAGCUUAACUGUAGACUUGCCGUUGAUACUGUCAGUCUUGAGUGUGGUCAAGGUAGGCGGAAUGUGUAAUGUAGCGGUGAAAUGCUUAGAUAUUACACAGAACACCGAUUGCGAAGGCAGCUUACUGGGCCAUUACUGACGCUGAUGCUCGAAAGCGUGGGGAUCGAACAGGAUUAGAUACCCUGGUAGUCCACGCCGUAAACGAUGAUCACUCGCUGUCAGCGAUACACAGUUAGCGGCUAAGCAAAAGCAUUAAGUGAUCCACCUGGGGAGUACGGCCGCAAGGCUGAAACUCAAAGGAAUUGACGGGGGCCCGCACAAGCGGAGGAACAUGUGGUUUAAUUCGAUGAUACGCGAGGAACCUUACCUGGGCUUAAAUGUAGAGUGCAUUCAGCUGAAAGGCUGAUUUCCUUCGGGACUUUCUGCAAGGUGCUGCAUGGUUGUCGUCAGCUCGUGCCGUGAGGUGUCGGGUUAAGUCACAUAACGAGCGCAACCCUUAUCGUUAGUUGCCAGCGGGUAAUGCCGGGAACUCUAACGAAACUGCCGGUGUAAACCGAGAGGAAGGUGGGGAUGACGUCAAAUCAGCACGGCCCUUAUGUCCAGGGCUACACACGUGUUACAAUGGCCGGUACAGAGGGCAGCUAUGCCGCGAGGCAAUGCGAAUCUCGAAAGCCGGUCUCAGUUCGGAUCGGAGUCUGCAACUCGACUCCGUGAAGCUGGAUUCGCUAGUAAUCGCGCAUCAGCCAUGGCGCGGUGAAUACGUUCCCGGGCCUUGCACACACCGCCCGU